GACGAACGCUGGCGGCGUGCCUAACACAUGCAAGUCGAGCGAAGUGAGUACUACGGUACGAACUUAGCGGCGGACGGGUGAGUAACGCGUGGACAAUCUACCCUGUAGACUGGGAUAACACCUCGAAAGGGGUGCUAAUACCGGAGAAUGUCGAGCAGCGGCAUCGCUUUUCGAAGAAAGGAGAGAAUCCGCUAUAGGAGGAGUCCGCGUCCCAUUAGCGAGUUGGUGAGAGUAACGGCCCACCAAGGCGACGAUGGGUAGCCGGCCUGAGAGGGUGAACGGCCACACUGGAACUGAGACACGGUCCAGACUCCUACGGGAGGCAGCAGAGGGGAAUAUUGUGCAAUGGGGGAAACCCUGACACAGCAACGCCGCGUGAGCGAAGAAGGCCUUCGGGUUGUAAAGCUCAAUAGUAUGGGAAGAUAAUGACGGUACCAUACGAAAGCCCCGGCUAACUACGUGCCAGCCGCCGCAGUAAAAC
rnacentral:rRNA from 1 species